UAGAGUUUGCUUUUGGAUCAGGAUGAACGCUAGCUACAGGCUUAACACAUGCAAGUCGCGGGGCAGCAUGUUACUGGCUUGCCCCCAAAAAUGGCGACCGGCGCACGGGUGAGUAUCGCGUAUCCAACCUUCCCAUAUCCACGGGAUAGCCUGCCGAAAGGCAGAUUAAUACCGUAUGUUGUCGCACGCUGGCAUCAAAAUGCGACGAAAGGCUUAGCGGAUAUGGAUGGGGAUGCGUCCGAUUAGCUUGACGGCGGGGUAACGGCCCACCGUGGCGACGAUCGGUAGGGGUUCUGAGAGGAAGGUCCCCCACAUUGGAACUGAGACACGGUCCAAACUCCUACGGGAGGCAGCAGUGAGGAAUAUUGGUCAAUGGGCGUAAGCCUGAACCAGCCAAGUAGCGUGCAGGACGACGGCCCUAUGGGUUGUAAACUGCUUUUAUGCGGGGAUAAAGUAUGGGACGUGUCCCAUUUUGCAGGUACCGCAUGAAUAAGGACCAGCUAAUUCCGUGCCAGCAGCCGCGGUAAUACGGAAGGUCCGGGCGUUAUCCGGAUUCAUUGGGUUUAAAGGGUGCGUAGGCUGUGCGUCAAGUCGGGGGUGAAAUUCCGGUGCUCGACACCGGGGCUGCCCUUGAUACUGUCGCGCUGGAGUGCGGAUGCCGCCGGAGGAAUGAGUGGUGUAGCGGUGAAAUGCUUAGGUAUCACUCAGAACACCGAUUGCGAAGGCAUCUGGCGAAUCCGUAACUGACGCUGAGGCACGAAAGCGUGGGGAUAGAACAGGAUUAGAUACCCUGGUAUUCCACGCCGUAAACGAUGAUGGCUAACCGCCGGCGACAGACUGUCGGUGGCCAAGCGAAAGCGAUAAGCCAUCCACCUGGGGAGUACAUCGGCAACGAUGAAACUCAAAGGAAUUGACGGGGGCCCGCACAAGCGGAGGAACAUGUGGUUUAAUUCGAUGAUACGCGAGGAACCUUACCCGGGCUCGAACGGCACCUGGAUCGCCCAGAGAUGGGCGAGUCUUCGGACAGGUGUCGAGGUGCUGCAUGGUUGUCGUCAGCUCGUGCCGUGAGGUGUCGGCUCAAGUGCCAUAACGAGCGCAACCCUUGCCGCCAGUUGCCAUCAGGUGAUGCUGGGCACUCUGGCGGGACUGCCACCGCAAGGUGUGAGGAGGGGGGGGAUGACGUCAAAUCAGCACGGCCCUUACGUCCGGGGCGACACACGUGUUACAAUGGCGGCCACAGAGGGAUGCUACCCCGCGAGGGGAUGCGGAUCUCGAAAAGCCGUCCCAGUUCGGACUGGAGUCUGCAACCCGACUCCACGAAGUUGGAUUCGCUAGUAAUCGCGCAUCAGCCAUGGCGCGGUGAAUACGUUCCCGGGCCUUGUACUCACCGCCCGUCA
rnacentral:rRNA from 1 species